rnacentral:rRNA from 1 species
UACGAAGGGGGCUAGCGUUGUUCGGAAUUACUGGGCGUAAAGCGCACGUAGGCGGAUCGUUAAGUGAGGGGUGAAAUCCCAGGGCUCAACCCUGGAACUGCCUCUCAUACUGGCGAUCUUGAGUUCGAGAGAGGUGAGUGGAAUUCCGAGUGUAGAGGUGAAAUUCGUAGAUAUUCGGAGGAACACCAGUGGCGAAGGCGGCUCACUGGCUCGAUACUGACGCUGAGGUGCGAAAGCGUGGGGAGCAAACAGG